UGAUUAGGAUGUCACUCUUGGAGCGGCCCCAAUUAAGCCGCGAUCUUCUCGAGUCAGUGAUGCCAACCGUCGAUCUAGAGGUAUAUUGGAAGAAUAAGUCAUAGAAGAUCGCUAACCAUGGAUUCGAACAGCUUAUGCAUGUGAGUUCUUCUUUUUUUUCUUUCUUCUUUUUUUUUUCACUUCGGUGAAUGACUGAUCUGAACCUUUGUCAUGUAGGUUUCGUCGACUUCAAGAUCAUGUAUGAAAAUAUGGCCUACCUAUUGAAGAAUAAAAAGGCUCUAAAUGUCAAACUGAUCAAUUUUCAGGGGG
rnacentral:lncRNA from 1 species